rnacentral:tRNA from 1 species
ACCUGGGUGGCUCAGUCAGUAGAGCUUGAGACUCUUGAUCUCAGGGUUGUGAAUUCAAGCCCCAAGUU